rnacentral:rRNA from 1 species
UUGGGUCUGUUUAAUUGGGGCGACGACCUUAUUUACUGGAACCAAUGGUGUACAAAGUUCAGAAUAUGAAACUUUGUUAAAGGACUUGUAAGUGCAAAGAUACAAUUCAAGGUUUAAUGGCAGCUGUUUUGUUCAUUAUGUAAGCAGUGUUUUAGUGACCUUAUAAUUAAUUUAACAGAUAAAAGCUACUCAAGGGAUAACAGGCUUAAUAUGUUAGAUAGCUCACAUUAAAUAAAUGGUUUGGCACCUCGAUGUCGGCUUAUCUUAUCCAAAAUCUGUAGGCUUUGGUUUAUUGGUAGGAGUGCUCAUCCUAUAAUAAGGUACGUGAGCUGGGUUCAGAACGAUGUAAAUCAGUUUGGUCUAUAUCUUUAACAAUUAUAAAAAUGGGUAUGGAGUAGUUUGUUCAGUACGAAAGGACCAACAGACA